GGGCCGGUAGUUCAGUGGUAGAAUGUCCGCUUGGCGUGCGGAAGGUCGAGGGUUCGAAUCCCUCCCGGUCCA
rnacentral:tRNA from 2 species